rnacentral:rRNA from 1 species
UACGUACUCCUCAAGUGGUAUCCACUAAUAUUGGGCCUAAAGCGUCUGUAGCCGGUCAGGCAAGUCUUUGGUGAAAUCCAUGCGCUUAACGUAUGGUCUGGCCAAAGAUACUACCUGGCUUGGGGUCGGAAGAGGUCAAUGGAAUUUCGGGGGUAGCGGUGAAAUGUUAUGAUCCUCGAAGGACCACCAGUAGCGAAGGCGAUUGACCAGAACGGACCUGACGGUGAGAGACGAAAGCUGGGGGA